GAUGAACGCUGGCGGCGUGCCUAAUACAUGCAAGUCGAGCGAACAGACGAGGAGCUUGCUCCUCUGACGUUAGCGGCGGACGGGUGAGUAACACGUGGAUAACCUACCUAUAAGACUGGGAUAACUUCGGGAAACCGGAGCUAAUACCGGAUAAUAUAUUGAACCGCAUGGUUCAAUAGUGAAAGACGGUUUUGCUGUCACUUAUAGAUGGAUCCGCGCCGCAUUAGCUAGUUGGUAAGGUAACGGCUUACCAAGGCAACGAUGCGUAGCCGACCUGAGAGGGUGAUCGGCCACACUGGAACUGAGACACGGUCCAGACUCCUACGGGAGGCAGCAGUAGGGAAUCUUCCGGAAUGGGCGAAAGCCUGACGGAGCAACGCCGCGUGAGUGAUGAAGGUCUUCGGAUCGUAAAACUCUGUUAUUAGGGAAGAACAAAUGUGUAAGUAACUAUGUACGUCUUGACGGUACCUAAUCAGAAAGCCACGGCUAACUACGUG
rnacentral:rRNA from 1 species